rnacentral:lncRNA from 1 species
UGUGAUGGGUUACCAUUAGUUUUAUUCACAUGCAGGAUGUGGUACUGCUGAUUCAGCCUACCAAGAAUGGUCUGGGGAGCACAGAAAUAAAGUGAACAGAGUGACACGUUACUUCUCCUGGCUGACCUAAGCUGAAUAUACAGUCUGUAACCGUGGCAGUUUUGCACAGAGAAGUCAUGGGGAUGGCUGGGUCAGAGGACACAAAGUUCCUGUAAAGUCUAAAAGGAAAGUGAAAGGUCUGGGGUGGAAGCUCCGGGGUCAGCAUAAGCUUCUUCAUAGCUGAAAGGAGGAGAGAACCCAGCUUUUGCCAAGGGCAUCUGCUAAGAUUCUUGAGCACGGAAGAUACGGGCAGUGGGAAGCGAGCAGUUGAAAGAGGUAACACAGUUCCCAGAAAGAUUUUUAUUUCUUUGAGCCUGACAGAGGCACAGUGGGACCAAUGAAGCUGCUUCAGGUGUGGAGGAGCAGGGAAGAGCAUGAGGACAGGGACAUCCAUUUGGUGUAUUUUUGGAACACACUACAGAAGACUGGACCGCAGUGCCCUAAAUUUCUUUACAUCACUGGAGAAAGAUGCUGAAGUUGUUUAAAUGAGGAAACCACAAAGAAAAUGGUAAGAGGCAAAAAGCAUGGCCUGAGCUCAUUUACAAAGUCACAGUGCAUUUUCAGGUUCCUCAGUGAGACCACAUUUUCCAGGCUACAUACCUA